ACGGAGGGUGCAAGCGUUAUCCGGAAUCACUGGGUUUAAAGGGUGCGUAGGCGGUCUUGUAAGUCAGUCGUGAAAUCGCUGGGCUCAACCCAUGCAAUUGCGAUUGAUACUGCGAGACUUGAAUGGGGUUAAGGCAGGCGGAAUGUGGCAUGUAGCGGUGAAAUGCAUAGAUAUGCCAUAGAACACCGAUUGCGAAGGCAGCCUGCUGGGCCUUUAUUGACGCUGAGGCACGAAAGCGUGGGGAGCAAACAGGAUUAGAUACCCUGGUAGUCCACGCCCUAAACGAUGUUUACUUGCUGUUUGCCCUUUGGGGUGAGUGGCGUAGCGAAAGCGAUAAGUAAACCACCUGGGGAGUACGCCGGCAACGGUG
rnacentral:rRNA from 1 species